rnacentral:rRNA from 1 species
GCCCAGACUCCUACGGGAGGCAGCAGUGGGGGAUAUUGCACAAUGGGGGAAACCCUGAUGCAGCGACGCCGCGUGGGUGAAGAAGUAUUUCGGUAUGUAAAGCCCUAUCAGCAGGGAAGAAAGAAGACGGUACCUGACUAAGAAGCCCCGGCUAACUACGUGCCAGCAGCCGCGGUAAUACGUAGGGGGCGAGCGUUAUCCGGAUUCACUGGGUGUAAAGGGAGCGUAGACGGCCGUGCAAGCCAGGAGUGAAAGCCCGGGGCCCAACCCCGGGACUGCUCUUGGAACUGUGCGGCUGGAGUGCGGGAGGGGCAGGCGGAAUUCCUGGUGUAGCGGUGAAAUGCGUAGAGAUCGGGAGGAACACCAGUGGCGAAGGCGGCCUACUGGGCUUUAACUGACGCUGAGGCACGAAAGCGUGGGUAGCAAACAGGAUUAGAUACCCUCGUA